GCCUGGUGCAGUGUUCUAUGCCUGUAGUCCCAGCUAUACUAUUUGGGAGGUUGAGGUAGGAGGUUUGCUUGAGACCAGGAGUUCUGGGCUGUAGUGCUCUAUGCUGAUUGGGUGUCCACAAUAAGUUUGAUAUCAAUAUGGUGACCUCCAGGGAGUGAAGGGCCACCAGAUUUCCUAAGGAGGGAUAAACUGGUCCAGGUUGAACAUGCAACAGGUCAAAACUUGAUAGUGGGAUUGCACCUGUGAAUAUCCACUGCACUACACCCUGGACGGGAUAGCCAGACCCUGUCUCUA
rnacentral:SRP_RNA from 2 species